rnacentral:RNase_P_RNA from 1 species
GCAGCCGGACGGUCUGUCGCUGGCGGCUCGAAAGAGCUGAAAGAGGAAAGUCCGGGCAGCACAGGGCAUCCCACUUCCUAAUAUAGAAGCAGUCCGCAAGGGUUGAGUAAUGCAGAAGAAAAUAACAACUGUCCCCCGGGGCAGAAAUGGUGAGAAGGUGAGGUAAGAGCUCACCAGCGACAUGGUGACAUGUCGGCUGUGCAUCUUGGGAGCUGCAAGUUCAUGUAAACCACCGCCACGAGGGUAGCCCGCCCGAUUGUUCGGUGGAGGGUGGAACGCUAGAGCCAUGGGGUGACUCAUGGAGUAGAUAAAUGACAGGCACAUGUCUUGAAUUGGAAAUUGACAAUUGGAAAUUGACAACUGGCAUGGACAGAACCCGGCUUAUAGCCCGACUGCUUUC